rnacentral:miRNA from 1 species
ACCAGGAGGCUGAGGCCCUUCA